GAUAAGUGUGCAUUGCUCAAGUGUACCAUUGGAAGACAUGACUUCAGUGUACCCUUCUUCACAACUGCAUGUCCUUGUCUGCAGGAGAACAAGACUUGUACUGUAUGGGCAAGAAAAAUAAUUCUCAAAGUACGGUCCAGGGACCAGAGGAUACUUUGACAUUCUUUCAGAGUAUGUGUGUGAGGAGUUUCCCCUUUUAACUACACAUCUGGGGUAAUACAGCAUGUCCCAGAGAACUGUGAUUUCAUUAUGUCAUGAAAAGAAAUGGAAGAGAAAAAACAAAAACAAAAAGCCAAUCUGCCUGCUAUGUGUCAUAUAGUUUCUGGAGUUUAUUUCUGUGUGAAAAUUACAUGGGAAAAAUUCUAAAAUAAGCUUCAAUAUUGCCCUAAGUCAUGUAAGCCAAGAAACUCUUCUUUCCUAGAAGUAUAUGCCUUGAUGAUAUAAGAUGACAGUUUGGGAGAAAAAUGGAAUUUAUAAUCUUUUUUUUUCCCUAAAAAAAUUAUCUUUUUUUUUUUACCUGGACCUUUGAUAAUAAUUGAAAUUUAUAUUCUCUUCUCAUACUUUUUGGCAAGCUUAAGAUUGCUGAUAUUUUUACAUCAAACUAAACAUGCUUAUGAAAUGCCCACAUACAAAGAAUUCUUGUCCCAAUAUUUAUAGUCAUUAAGCAUCUUCUGAAGAAGACAUCUUUCAGUAAAAUUAAUACCCAUGGGAAAGAGCUAUCUUUUAUUUGUACCCUCUGAAAGUGGGAGAGUAUCUUAAAUAGAACUAUUUAGACUAUUCACGAUCUGCCUUGGGAGCUAAGGUUUGCAUGCUAUUUUUCAUUCUCUGUAUCCUAACAUUUAUUAAAAAAUGAGACAUAAAUAUUUCUUUCAUUUAAUACAGAAUUAUAUCUGGGAGAGUAAGCAGCAUGUCCAAAGGGCAUGCAGAUGGGAUGAACAAUACUUCCAGGAAUGCUGCUAAGCUGAUAGACACAGAAUUUGGCCUUUAACUCAAUGAGGAGAUGACUAUU